AGGUUUUAGUGUAAAAACCUAAAUGUUUAGAGAAAGCCGAAUAUUUAGGUAUUACUAAAAAGGUUUAUUUCUGAAUUUAGACUUUCUAAUGAUCGGAAGAUAAAAGUUUAGGUGGAAAACAUCAAUAAUAAGUGAAGAGUCUAUGGGAAAAUUCAUGAUUUUAUUUAGAAACUACUAAUAUCAUGUCAAGGUGAUCCUAACUCUUACUAA